AGCGGAAGGCCAAUACGCUUGCUCCGCACUUCCGGGCUCUCGAGGCUGGGCGCCGACCUUUGAGGCGCCUGCGCAGAUGCUGGGCUGAGGGUUUGGGGAGGUGCAGGCGUGUUGGGACUGAUGGCCAAUGUUGCUGAGUAGCGGCGACGUGUGGGCGUGUCGGUCCAGCAGUCUGGCCAGGGGGUUCGGGUGCGGGGUCUUUGGGAGCGGAGGGCACGGAGAGAGCCUAAGGUCGCCGGCCGCCGCGAGUACCUGGCAUGUCGGCGGAGGCCUCCGACCCGGCGGCUGCCGAGGCCCUUUCCCUGGAAGUCCCUAAGCCCUGGGGAUUCGAGCCCGGCUCCGUCGCGGACGGUCUCAAGCCACAGACUCCGAACAGCAAGUAUGUGAAGCUGAAUGUGGGGGGCUCGCUGCACUACACGACGCUGCGCACCCUCACGGGACAGGACACCAUGCUCAAGACCAUGUUCAGCGGCCGCGCGGAGGUACUCACGGACGCAGGAGGUUGGGUGCUGAUUGACCGUAGUGGCCGCCACUUUGGUACAAUCCUCAACUACCUUCGGGAUGGGUCGGUUCCACUGCCUGAGAGCACCAGAGAACUGGGGGAGCUACUAGGCGAAGCACGAUACUACCUGGUACAGGGCCUGAUUGAGGACUGCCAGCUGGCACUGCAGCAAAAACGGGAGAACCUGUCCCCGCUGUGCCUCAUCCCCAUGGUGACAUCUCCCCAGGAGGAGCAGCAGCUCCUGGCCAGCACCUCCAAGCCGGUGGUGAAGCUCCUGCACAACCGCAGUAACAACAAGUACUCCUACACCAGCACUUCAGAUGACAACCUACUUAAGAACAUCGAGCUGUUUGACAAACUGGCCCUGCGCUUCCAUGGGCGGCUGCUCUUCCUCAAGGAUGUCCUGGGGGACGAGAUCUGCUGCUGGUCUUUCUACGGGCAGGGCCGCAAAAUCGCCGAGGUGUGCUGCACCUCCAUUGUCUAUGCCACGGAGAAGAAGCAGACCAAGGUCAGAAGGGGUUCAGGGCCUGGUCAGGGAGGGCUAUGGUGGUUGGCAGGACCAGGACCCUAGACAAAGGCAGCUCAGCAGAUCAGGCAGAGGAAAGUCCAUCACUGAGAGUCAGGACAGACUUCCAAGUUUUGGGGCCUUACCUGUGUAAACCAUGACACCAUACACUCUCAUCUGUGAUGAUCUUGUCAGUACCUGGUCUCUUCUGACCUUCAUAUGAUGGAUGUGCCUUCGGUACACCAGAGAUCUUGCAGAUCUCUAAGUGCCCAAUACUAUUUCACACCUCCCCAACUUUGCACACAUUGUUCCUUUUACUUGGGAUUAUUCUUCCUCAUCCCUGUGUACCUAAUGAAUUUAUCCUUAAUCUUUAAGACCCAAGCCAUGCAUCACUUUCUUUGUAACACCUUCGCUCAUGAUCUUUCACCUCAACAACCUGAGACAAAGGGGGUUUACUUUGGUAGCUAGGUGUUAGCUCUUUGAGGGUAAGGCUGUAUCUUUUGAAUAUUUUUUCCCUAUCUUUCUAGCACUAGUGGAGGCUAGAAGAGUUUAUUACACAGUGGAAGCUAGGAAACAUUUAUUGAAUGCAUGAAUGAAUGACCCAGCUUCCAAGAAACUUCCUGUUUUUUGAGGACAGGAAGAUCAACAAUUAGAAUGCAGCUUGUUAAGGGUUAUGUUAGUUAUGAUUCCAACCCACCGAAGGGGAACCCCCUGUCACCUUUUGCUUCAUCCCUUCUGCUCUCUCUUCAUCACUCCAUGUCGUUGUAUUGGCCUUGCUGCUCAUGUCCUUGCUGCUUAGUGUACUAAGCCCACUCCCGUCCCAGAGCUUUUACACUUGCUGUUGCCUCUUCCCGGACUGCUCUUCCUCUGGUUACCCACCUGGCUCCCACCCACCCACCCCGCUUUCCUUUGGCCAUUGGCCAAAUGUCAUCUUCUCAGUGAGGUCUUCCCUAAGCUCUCUUACAACACUCCCAGCCAUGGCCAUCCCCACCCCUUCUCCUGCUAUAGUUUUUUCUCAUAACAUUUGUCAUCAUCUGACAGUCUAUAUUUUAUUAAAUGUAUGUCUAUGUCCUCCCUCUAGAAUGUAAACUUCCUGUGGAUAGAAACUUUGUUUUGUUCACUGCUAUAUUCUCAGUGUUUGCAACACCUGGUACAGUGCAGUCACUAGGUAAAUGUUUGUCUAAUGAAAGAAUAUACCAAGAGACUUGGUAGCAAAGGAGAGAAAACAACCACCUGACUUCAGAGCUGGACCUUGAAUUAUGUGUGACUUUGCUGAGUAAAGAAGUUGCAAAGAGGACAGUCCAGGCCAAAGAAUCUGUGAUUGCAAAGACAUGGAGGUGGAAUUCCCAGAGGCCCGGAUCUUUGAGGAGACCCUGAACAUCCUGAUCUACGAGACUCCCCGGGGCCCAGACCCAGCCCUCCU